GGGUGGGGGGAAGAAGGGCCGAAAAUAGUCAUAUCAGCCGGGAGAAGAAGGCAAAGGGGUUUAUAUAUGUAUUUGAUACAUAUAUCUAUAUGAAAUCCCUUACAAAGCAAAAGAGAUGGCCACCAAUUGCAACCAAGGGAAGGCUCUGCUCUCUGCCAACACCCCCCAGCUCCACCACGGGGGACGGCUUGGCAGCGGGAUUCAAUGGACGGACCUGAAUUAGCAAAGGAUCAACAAGAAGAUGGAGAAAUAAAGGGGGGGGGGAGAGAGAAGGGGGGCGAUUGCGGAGAAUGAAUGCGCCAGAGGCACAUGGCGCCUGGCACUGAAUGGCCGCAGGGAGCGCCCCACUUGGAAAACACCCCCCAUAUUUUUCCUGGAUAUUUUUUUUUGCAACCCCCUCCCCCUUGCAAAACAACGAACUCCUUAACCAAGCUUGUGGGGUUUUUUUUAAUUUGAUUUUUAAAAAUUUUUUUGGCAUAGCCAGACACAUUUCCCAGGGCAAGAGGAACGGCCCAGAGUCAGUGGGAUGGGGGCAGGGGAGAAGAGGUUUUUUUUGGGGGGGGCUUUUUAACCCGUCUGAUGGAGGAGGGUCCUUUCCCCCCCUCUUCUUUAAAGAAAAGAUGUUUGUUGUCUGUGUUCGCACCGGGAUCUUCCAAGAAGAUGUUAAGUGGGGGUAUGUAUAUAAAGCAUCCAGCUGCUUUAAAAAAACCAGAUGUUCUCCUGGCUGCAGUGCUGGGACUUUGGCUUGCUCCCCACCCCCCACCCCGCCACCCCGCCACCCCGCCAUUCACCGAUUGCGUUUCCUUUGGGCACUUAAAGAAUGGCCUAGUUGAAUGGACUGGAUUGGGAUUUGUAGAAACAACAAAAAAAAUGGCAUUAAAGCAUAUUAAAGAUUUUCCGUACCCUGA